rnacentral:rRNA from 1 species
CGCGUAGGCGGCCUACUAAGUCAGACGUGAAAUCCCCCGGCUUAACCUGGGAACUGCGUCUGAUACUGGAAGGCUUGAGGAUGGGAGAGGGAUGUAGAAUUCCAGGUGUAGCGGUGAAAUGCGUAGAUAUCUGGAGGAAUACCGGUGGCGAAGGCGGCAUCCUGGACCAUUACUGACGCUGAGGCGCGAAAGCUAGGGAGCAAACG